GCUGGCGGCGUGCCUAAUACAUGCAAGUCGAGCGAAUCUCUUCGGAGAUUAGCGGCGGACGGGUGAGUAACACGUAGGCAACCUGCCUGUAAGACUGGGAUAACUUCGGGAAACCGGAGCUAAUACCGGAUAGGUUUUCGUAUUGCAUGAUACGAAAUGGAAAGGCGGCUUUUAGCUGUCACUUACAGAUGGGCCUGCGGCGCAUUAGCUAGUUGGUGAGGUAACGGCUCACCAAGGCGACGAUGCGUAGCCGACCUGAGAGGGUGAUCGGCCACACUGGGACUGAGACACGGCCCAGACUCCUACGGGAGGCAGCAGUAGGGAAUCUUCCGCAAUGGACGAAAGUCUGACGGAGCAACGCCGCGUGAGCGAUGAAGGCCUUCGGGUCGUAAAGCUCUGUUGUUAGGGAAGAACAAGUACGAGAGUAACUGCUCGUACCUUGACGGUACCUAACCAGAAAGCCACGGCUAACUACGUGCCAGCAGCCGCGGUAAUACGUAGGUGGCAAGCGUUAUCCGGAAUUAUUGGGCGUAAAGCGCGCGCAGGCGGUUUCUUAAGUCUGAUGUGAAAGCCCACGGCUCAACCGUGGAGGGUCAUUGGAAACUGGGAAACUUGAGUGCAGAAGAGGAAAGUGGAAUUCCACGUGUAGCGGUGAAAUGCGUAGAGAUGUGGAGGAACACCAGUGGCGAAGGCGACUUUCUGGUCUGUAACUGAC
rnacentral:rRNA from 1 species